CUCAAGACGUUUAAUUAUUCAUGUACACUUACAGUAAAAUGUCCCAUUUUACUACAGCUGGAGUCGAGUGAAUCAGCUGCCUAUAAGAGGUUGAUCUUUUUUAAGAUUCCUGCUCUACAGGAUGCUACGUGUUAGACUGUGGGCAUUGGGAAUCGAACCCGGAACCUUCCAGCCUGGAGUCAAGCGUCAGGUCUCCAGUCUACUAUGGAUGAGGAGAGAGAGGAUGGGGGUCCUACCUCUAAGACCACUCUGUCUGGGGAACAUGGCCGCCGGAGCAAAGCUACGAGCCCAGAGCAGCAGCAGAGAGCAGACUCCCCUGGACCCAGCUGUGUCUCCAUGAAGAGUGACCACUCUAUGGGUCUACCUGUUAGGUUUAAAGACGGAAAUCAAUCUGUUGAGAAGAGCCCAGAGCAGCAGCAGAGAGCAGACUCCCCUGGACCCAGCUGUGUCUCCAUGAAGAGUGACCACUCUAUGGGUCUACCUGUUAGGUUUAACGAUGGAAAUCAACCUAUUAAGAAGAG
ensembl:lncRNA